UACGGAGGGUGCAAGCGUUAUCCGGAAUGAUUGGGCGUAAAGCGUCCGCAGGUGGCAAUGUAAGUCUGCUGUUAAAGAGUCUAGCUCAACUAGAUAAAAGCAGUGGAAACUACAUAGCUAGAGUACGUUCGGGGCAGAGGGAAUUCCUGGUGUAGCGGUGAAAUGCGUAGAGAUCAGGAAGAACACCGGUGGCGAAAGCGCUCUGCUAGGCCGCAACUGACACUCAUGGACGAAAGCUAGGGGAGCGAAUGGG
rnacentral:rRNA from 1 species